AAGCUUAGUUGUGUACUCUUUAAUCCACAAACUCGCAUCGAACCCUUCAACCAUACUGAGAACUUCUAUAACACUAUAGAACCUUUUAUGCUAAAACUAGUAACAAGAGACAACACCUCUCCUUAAUGCAAACAUAAGCCAGCAAGAACCCAUCACUGGCAAUUAACAGCCUCAAACAAAGUAGCAACUCCACUAGAAACCCCCACUUUUCACGCUGUUAACCUAACACCAGAGCAUUUCAAGAAAGAUUAAAAGAAAAAGAAGGAACUCGGCAAAUAUGUUAGCCCCGCCUGUUUACCAAAAACAUCGCCUCUUGCCACACAUGAGAGGUCCAGCCUGCCCAGUGACUUUGUUCAACGGCCGCGGUAUCCUAACCGUGCGAAGGUAGCGUAAUCACUUGUCUUCUAAAUAGAGACUAGUAUGAAAGGCAUCACGAGGGCUAAACUGUCUCCUCUCUCUAAUCAGUUAACCUAUUCCCCCCGUGAAGAAACGGGGAUUCUUCUAUAAGACGAGAAGACCCUAUGGAGCUUAAAACAUCAUGACACCUGCUGCCCACCUAAAUAUUCAGAUAUUCUACCCCCACGCACGCUGAUCAUAAGUUUUUGGUUGGGGUGACCGUGGAGGAAAACCCAUCCUCCAUGAUGAACGGGGACUCCCCCCUAAACAAUAAGUCACAACUUUAUGUAUCAAAAAAUUGACAUCCUUUGACCCAACAAUUGACCAACGAACCAAGUUACCCUAGGGAUAACAGCGCAAUCCACUUCGAGAGCUCUUAUCGACAAGUGGGCUUACGACCUCGAUGUUGGAUCGGGGUGUCCUAGUGGUGCAGCCGCUA
rnacentral:rRNA from 1 species